rnacentral:rRNA from 1 species
GACGAACGCUGGCGGCGUGCCUAACACAUGCAAGUCGAACGGAACUUCUUUAAAGGAUUUCUUCGGAAUGAAUUUGAUUAAGUUUAGUGGCGGACGGGUGAGUAACGCGUGAGUAACCUGCCUCUAAGAGGGGAAUAACAUUCUGAAAAGAAUGCUAAUACCGCAUAAUAUAUAUUUAUCGCAUGGUAGAUAUAUCAAAGAUUUAUCGCUUAGAGAUGGACUCGCGUCCGAUUAGUUAGUUGGUGAGGUAACGGCUCACCAAGACCGCGAUCGGUAGCCGGACUGAGAGGUUGAACGGCCACAUUGGGACUGAGACACGGCCCAGACUCCUACGGGAGGCAGCAGUGGGGGAUAUUGCGCAAUGGGGGAAACCCUGACGCAGCAACGCCGCGUGAAGGAUGAAGGUCUUCGGAUUGUAAACUUCUUUUAUUAAGGACGAAGAAAGUGACGGUACUUAAUGAAUAAGCUCCGGCUAACUACGUG